ensembl:lncRNA
UGAACAGCUACUGAUUGUCUUGUGUUAUUUACCAUAGUUGCAUAAUGCUUUUAGGAACGUAUUCUCAGGUGAUAUUUUGUUCUAUAUUAUAUAACUGUGAGUGUUAAUACUUCACAAGCAAUUGUCCCGUCGUCUUUUAAUUCCACCGAGUUCCUAACUUCUGAUAUGUUGUAGUUAUAAGAACUGUGCAUGGCACAUGCAAAGUGGAUUUUUUUGUUUCAGUAUAAAAGAAGAGGAAUUUAUUUAAACACGGACCUUUCUAAUGGAAUAGGGCACCUUCUCACAGCAUUGUUAGAGGAAGGAGAAUUUUGGGAGACAACCAAACUCUGGCAUUUUUUAAUGUCUUCUGGUUAACCAGAUACAUAAUAGUACAUACGAUUUAAAAUAAGGCCAUAUGGCACAGAAGUGUCAUCCUGUAUAGGAAACAACAAUGCAGGAUUUCCAGACUGACAGAAGUAGCACGGGAUGCUGUGAGAAGCCAAGGCCUGGGAGCAGCCCUCUAGGCCUGAGCUAGAGGUUAUAAAGUCGAUGAGAGGCUUUGUGUCUCCUUUGUGCUGGGACUGGAACUGGGAAGGGAAGAGGCCAACAAUUCAAAAUAAUAGCACACUGUGUCUUCAAACUCAGGCUGAUGCUGUGAUUCAUCUUAAUGGAUUUCCCAAGAAUUAUUGGAAAUUAUUUUAUUACACGUAUAAAUCCAGUAUCAGUCAGAAAAAUAAAUAUAUGCAUUGUGUUACCGGGGGAAUGUUUACUGUAGCACUCACGUGCUGUGAUGCUAGAGGACAUAGGAAC